UACGGAGGGGGCUAGCGUUGUUCGGAAUUACUGGGCGUAAAGCGUGCGCAGGCGGUUAUGCAAGCCAGAUGUGAAAUCCCCGGGCUUAACCUGGGAACUGCAUUUGUGACUGCAUAGCUGGAGUACGGUAGAGGGGGAUGGAAUUCCGCGUGUAGCAGUGAAAUGCGUAGAUAUGCGGAGGAACACCGAUGGCGAAGGCAGUCCCCUGGACCUGUACUGACGCUCAUGCACGAAAGCGUGGGGAGCAAACAGG
rnacentral:rRNA from 1 species